rnacentral:rRNA from 1 species
GUCAACUUAAGAGUUUGAUCCUGGCUCAGAACGAACGCUGGCGGCAGGCUUAACACAUGCAAGUUGAACGAGAACGCACCUUCGGGUGUUAUUAAAGUAGCGAACGGGUGAGUAACGCGUGGGAACCAACCCUGGAGUGGGGGACAACUGCUGGAAACGGCAGCUAAUACCGCAUACGCCCUACGGG